GUGCUCAUUUCCAAAGCAUAUAUACUAAAACGGGAACAGUACAAAGAUUAGCAGGUGCCUGCAUACAGAUGACAAACAAUCUGGGAAGUGCUCCACAGUAUA
rnacentral:snRNA from 1 species